AGAGUUUGAUCCUGGCUCAGGAUGAACGCUGGCGGCGUGCCUAAUACAUGCAAGUCGAGCGAACGGACGAGAAGCUUGCUUCUCUGAUGUUAGCGGCGGACGGGUGAGUAACACGUGGAUAACCUACCUAUAAGACUGGGAUAACUUCGGGAAACCGGAGCUAAUACCGGAUAAUAUUUUGAACCGCAUGGUUCAAAAGUGAAAGACGGUCUUGCUGUCACUUAUAGAUGGAUCCGCGCUGCAUUAGCUAGUUGGUAAGGUAACGGCUUACCAAGGCAACGAUGCAUAGCCGACCUGAGAGGGUGAUCGGCCACACUGGAACUGAGACACGGUCCAGACUCCUACGGGAGGCAGCAGUAGGGAAUCUUCCGCAAUGGGCGAAAGCCUGACGGAGCAACGCCGCGUGAGUGAUGAAGGUCUUCGGAUCGUAAAACUCUGUUAUUAGGGAAGAACAUAUGUGUAAGUAACUGUGCACAUCUUGACGGUACCUAAUCAGAAAGCCACGGCUAACUACGUGCCAGCAGCCGCGGUAAUACGUAGGUGGCAAGCGUUAUCCGGAAUUAUUGGGCGUAAAGCGCGCGUAGGCGGUUUUUUAAGUCUGAUGUGAAAGCCCACGGCUCAACCGUGGAGGGUCAUUGGAAACUGGAAAACUUGAGUGCAGAAGAGGAAAGUGGAAUUCCAUGUGUAGCGGUGAAAUGCGCAGAGAUAUGGAGGAACACCAGUGGCGAAGGCGACUUUCUGGUCUGUAACUGACGCUGAUGUGCGAAAGCGUGGGGAUCAAACAGGAUUAGAUACCCUGGUAGUCCACGCCGUAAACGAUGAGUGCUAAGUGUUAGGGGGUUUCCGCCCCUUAGUGCUGCAGCUAACGCAUUAAGCACUCCGCCUGGGGAGUACGACCGCAAGGUUGAAACUCAAAGGAAUUGACGGGGACCCGCACAAGCGGUGGAGCAUGUGGUUUAAUUCGAAGCAACGCGAAGAACCUUACCAAAUCUUGACAUCCUUUGACAACUCUAGAGAUAGAGCCUUCCCCUUCGGGGGACAAAGUGACAGGUGGUGCAUGGUUGUCGUCAGCUCGUGUCGUGAGAUGUUGGGUUAAGUCCCGCAACGAGCGCAACCCUUAAGCUUAGUUGCCAUCAUUAAGUUGGGCACUCUAAGUUGACUGCCGGUGACAAACCGGAGGAAGGUGGGGAUGACGUCAAAUCAUCAUGCCCCUUAUGAUUUGGGCUACACACGUGCUACAAUGGACAAUACAAAGGGCAGCGAAACCGCGAGGUCAAGCAAAUCCUAUAAAGUUGUUCUCAGUUCGGAUUGUAGUCUGCAACUCGACUACAUGAAGCUGGAAUCGCUAGUAAUCGUAGAUCAGCAUGCUACGGUGAAUACGUUCCCGGGUCUUGUACACACCGCCCGUCACACCACGAGAGUUUGUAACACCCGAAGCCGGUGGAGUAACCUUUUAGGAGCUAGCCGUCGAAGGUGGGACAAAUGAUUGGGGUGAAGUCGUAACAAGGUAGCCGUAUCGGAAGGUGCGGCUGGAUCACCU
rnacentral:rRNA from 1 species